rnacentral:rRNA from 1 species
UACGGAGGGCGCAAGCGUUGUUCGGGAUCACUGGGCGUAAAACGCGUGCCGGCGGCUUGGUAAGUCGGGUGUGAAAUCCCGGAGCUCAACUCCGGAACUGCACCCGAUACUGCCUCGCUAGAGUCCCGGAGAGGAUGGCGGAAUUUCCGGUGUAGAGGUGAAAUUCGUAGAUAUCGGAAGGAACACCAGCGGCGAAGGCGGCCAUCUGGACGGUGACUGACGCUCAGACGCGAAAGCGUGGGGAGCAAACAGG